GACAAUUUAGCUCAGUUGGUUAGAGCGUGGAGCUAAUACGCUUCGACUGGUACAAACAGUCACAAGUCUUACUCCAAGGUCAACAGUUCGAGCCUGUUACUUGUCA